GGCAAGAUGGCCGAGCGGUCUAAGGCGCUAGACUCAAGAGGUUCCCUAUCUCUUAACUUCUCCCAAGAAGUUUGCAUUCUAGUCUCGAAAGAGGCGGGGGUUCGAAUCCCCCUCUUGUCA
rnacentral:tRNA from 1 species